CUGGAUUAUAGAUUUAGGUGCCUCUAAUCACAUGACACAUGAUAAACAUAUACUUUUUAACAUUAUACCUUUAACUCUGCCAUAUCUUGUCACUCUUCCAAAUGGCUAUAAAGUGAAAGUGACUUGCACUGGCUCCUUUGCCUUGACUUCUUCCAUCGCUCUUCACAAUGUACUGCUAGUUCCUUUUUUAAACACAACUUGAUUUCUGUUCACAAGUUAGUGAAGCAGUUGCAUUGUAUAGUUAUGUUCCCUGAACAUUCCUACUUACCACACAUGAUAGAGAAGCUGCUGGCCUGUAUAAACUAGCUUGGGUUCCUUCUUCCCCUUCUCCCUCUGUUAAUUGUUCUUCUACUUUUGUUUCUCCUGUAUCUGCUUCUUGUAAUGAUAACAAAAUUGUUGCAUUGCCUUCUGUGUCUGCUUCUUGUAAUGAUGACAUCUUGUCUAAUAACAAGGUUAUUCCUUAGCCUUUACAUGUGAAUAGUUCCAUCUGUAAUAAUGAAUUUGCAUCUGAUAUGAAUUACAUUUGGCACUUAUGGCUUGCACAUACUCCAUUUGCAAAUAUGAAAUACAUUUCUGGUCUGUCUUUUCCUUUUGCUUCCAAACAACCCUUUCCUUGUACAGUCUGUUCCAUGGCCAGACAGACCAGGCUUCCUUUCCCUGAUAGCUCCAUUAGAACUUCUAGGUCUUUUCAACUGAUUCAUGUGGACACCUGGGGUCCUUAUCAUACUCCAACCUCAUCUGGUUGCAAAUAUUUUCUUAUAAUUGUUGAUGACUUUUCAAGUCAACUUGGACACACCUGUUGGGAUCCAAAAGCAAUGCCUUUUCUAUGCUUAAGUCAUUUCUUUCUCUGGUCAGAACCUAAUUUAAUGCUGUGGUUCAGACUGUUAGAAGUGACAAUGCCUUAGAAUUGGGCUCUAGCAAUAAGGGUAUUUCUUUCUUUAGCAGUCAGGGGAUCCUACAUCAAACCUCCUGCCCUCAUACCCCUCAACAAAAUGAUGUUAUUGAGAGGAAGCAUAGAAAUCUCCUUGAAACCUGUAGGGCAUUGCUUAAACAAAACGGUGUUGUUAAUAGAAAGCAUAGAACACUUCUUGAAACCUGCAGGGCUUUGCUCUUUCAAUCUGGUUUGCCAGUAUCCUUCUGGGGGGAUUGCCUGUUGAUUGCCACCUAUCUUCUUAUCAGAAUACCCACCAGAUUGCUUCAUAAUAAGUCUCCUCAUGAAAUUUUGUAUGGGAAAAUUCCAUCCUAUACUCACUUGAGGACUUUUGGUUUCCUUGCCUUUGCUACUGUUCCCAUCCCUCAAAGGGACAAGUUAAAGCAAAGAGCCAUUCCUUGAGUUUUCCUGGGUUAUCCUUUUGGCAAAAAGGAUUAUAGGCUAUAUGAUCUUGCAUCUAAGAAGUAUUUGGUCUCCAGGGAUGUUCUUGUUCAUGAAUUAGUUUUUCCUUUUAAAUCUGUGUCUUCUUCUGCUCCUCCUCCUACUUCUUCUUUUCCCUUUAUUCCAUCUGGAGAACAUGAUGAUGCCUUUGAUUCUCCCAUUCCUCUCUC
rnacentral:lncRNA from 1 species